rnacentral:lncRNA from 1 species
CCUAAUUAAAACUAUAUUUGCAUUUGCAUGCAUGUACGAAACCCUCGGUCCAUUAAAUUCUUUGGUUAAGAAAAUCAAAUUAUUUUACUUACUGAAACUUAGGGUUUCUACGUUACGUAUAAAACUGGGGUCCACCUCAAGGAAGACUAGCAGCCUCAUCAACCCAUCGAGAGGUGGCCACGUCGUUGCAUCCGACGCCUCAUGUCUGCCCUCCUCGCAACAGAGAACGCGGCGGUGACGUAAAAAGUCUACGGUUGAUUUAUAUUUUAAUUUCUCUGUUAUAUUAUUUAAUUCAAUUUGUUAAUUUUAUAAUUACUGAUAGCUCUCUGUGUGUGUUAUUAUAUAUUUUGCUUACAUGCGACGUACUUCUUAUUCACAAGUCUGAU